UAUUGUUCAAUAUACAUCACUGUACAUAAUAUAUUGAUACAUAACCCAAUUUUAGUAGUUCUGAUAUUUCAGGCUGAUCGUUUUGCAAAAUUAUUUGACCGUAUCAACAAAAUGUGACCAUAUUUGCACUUAUGUUUGUUAAUGUCUUUGCCUGCAUUAUCAAUCAGAAGUUUUAUUUUGUAGAAUACAAAUAAAGCAAUAUAGAAAAACAAUGAUUCCCCGCCAAUUUAGAUUGUCAGCACUUCAUCUCUGUAUUCAUAUUAUUGAACCGUCACCACGUUAAAUAGUUCAGAUUGUGUGUAUAUGACGGCAUCAUCCAACUAUGACCUGUCUGAUAUCAUUUGCACUUUCUAAGAAAGUAUACGAAGUUCUCUUUUGAUAAUAAUAUAUUGUUAGUAUAUUAUGUCGAUCGAUUGAUUGAUUGUGUUUGUCGCUAAACGCCAAGUUGGAACUAUUUCAUUCAUGUGCACAGCAAGUAUAUUUUUCGAACAUCAUAUUUCAUUUAUAAUCUGUAAAAAAAAUCUUAGGAAAUGUUUAAAAAUUCACCUUCUGUAUCCAGACUCUACAAUUGUCGUCAACACAUUUUGUCGAAAACAGAAUAUUAAAUACAAGGCGAACAAGGUGAAUUACGAUGAAAUAUCCAUGUAACGCAUAAAGUUAAAUUAAAAAAGAUGCUUUAAAACAUUUGAUACAAAGCAAAGUCGACAAUGCUAGUGAUACCCCAUAAUAUAAAAAAUAUGGUUCCGAUGCUUUGAGUAACCUUUCUAUCCGCCUUUUAUUAAAAUAAAUUCUUUCUUUUAACAUAGUUGUAUGUGAUCACAAGUGUGUAACUGUAUAGCCAUUGAGUAACGUUAUAUAAGAAUAUGAAACACAAAAAAUAUUUUUUCUAAUGUGUAUAAUUUCUAUAACAGUAAACCUUUCAUGAGAUAAACACAAAAAAGUUACGUAAAUUGAACUAAUUUGAUAUGAUAACUGUACUGUAUUGCCUACUUAAUACCAUUGUUGAAUGCUUUUGAAAUUCAGUGUAUCGCCAAAUUUUCGUAAUUCCAAUGCAAAUAAUGCGACGACUGGCAAUAUCUGAUACAUAGAUUUGAAGACACUUUUAUUUAUUGGCAUGAUAUAUGUGACUUUCAUUAAUGACUUCUUCGGUAUGUACUCAAUAGAGUUAUUCUGUUUCAAAAAAGAACUGAUACAAUUUUACUGAAUACUUCCCUUUAUUGGACCUUUAUAUCUAUAUAUGUAACAGGAUGCAUGAUGAGAAAAUUUUAGAAGAAGAUACAUUUUUUUUCUGAAUUUGUUCGAUUCUCUUGUAUUUGAAGUAUAAGGUACAAAUCAAUAUGAAUGAAAAAGGAACUAUAUGGCUAAAAAAUGAUGUGAUCCUUAAUCUUACAUAAACCUUAUAUAACCACAAUAAUAUCGCGAAACAAAACAAAAAGGCAAUAGGCUGAAAAAACUGAUCUACAAAAUAUUAAUAUGAUUAUCCAUUAUUUGUUUUGAAAUUCCUCAUCUUCCAGGAAAAACUAGUAUCGUGUAUUGUUAAAUGGUUUUCUGUUUGAAAACCCUACAAUGCCUUUGACUCUUUAAAAGUAGAAAAGCAUUCAUUUUAUCUUUAUACGUUUUGUGCUGUUGGGUGUUAUUUAUUACAAUUGAUUUAUGUUUACAUUAAUAUACACAUACAUUUUCUAGUUUUAGCAAGACAUCUUUGUUGAAAAUGAGAGGUAUUGGCGUGUUCUAUAAAAAAGUAAAACAACUGUUGUUGACAAAUAAAGGUAAAUAUAUUAAAAUUCCUAGCUUAAAAUAAUUUAGCUUUGAUUAAUACAAUAUUUGCAGACUUUGACCGUACAACUCAGUCAACAGCCAAUAAUUGAUCAACAACAAGGCACGAUCGUAUCAAUUCGGAAAUCGUGUGAUAUAAAUACGUUUGACCAAUCGGAUUAAUCGAGCGGAUAUGUGUUCACUACGUCACGUUUACAUCUUAAGAAAAACAUAAUCUCGUUUUUUUCUUAACCCAAAUGCCGCCGUGUAGUUAAGGUAAUCAUAAAUUCAAUUCAAAUUUCUGACAUAUAUGUCUUAAAAAAUAAUAUUUAUUUGCCAAGGUCAUCAUAACUUUAGGCAUAUAACAGAGGAGCGAAAUAUACCAGAGGGACAGUAAAACUCAUAGAUUGAAAAUAAAUCAACCCCGUCAUGGCUAAAUACUUUUUGGAAAGAGUAUCUUUUAUUCCGAAUGAAUUUAACAAAAGUUAAUUUGCUUAAUAACAUAAAUUAUAAAUCUAUACUUGAAUUCUAUAAACCAUUAAUUAACACUUUGGUAGAAGUAAAAGGAGGUCAAACUAUCACACCAAAAAACAUUCUUGAGGUUAGAAAACUACUUAUAUGGUGAAAUCAUCUCAUCAAAGAAAAUGGGAAAUGUCUGUUUUUUUUUCAAAAUUGGAUUAGUAGUAAUAAUUUGUUCAUCAAUAACAUAAUAGAUGAAAGCGCACACAUCUCAUCAAAAACUGCACUAAAAACAUAAAGAAUAAAUAAUACUGGAUUAGAAAAAUUUCUUUACUUAAGGAUGUUCGCUACUCUGUUAGAAAAUAACAAGCUUUUUGGAAGACUAUUAUGAUUGAAUAAAUAAAUAACUUAAAAAGUAAAAAAAAUGGAGGGUCUGUUGCUCGUUUUCAAGAUGAAUAAGCCAUGAAAUUUGGCGGGAAAUAAUUUCUCUAAAUUUUUCAUAUAUUUAACAUUGACACCUUAUUUGUUUCAAAAACUGUAAAAAAAAUAACAAGAAUUUUAUAAAAUUUUGAGAUAUGGCUUUUUAAACUUUAUGUAAUAAAAUUAUGAAAAAAUUAUAUACUGCUAACGGUUAACGAGCCGGAUAGGUACGGUAUUUGAUGUAUCAACUAACAAAUGUGAAAAUAUCAAUAAAACAUGGAACUGUUAAAAAAAAAAAAAAAAAAAAAAAAAUAAAAUUAUGAAAAAAAAAGUAAGGUUAGUGGGCAAUUUUUUAAUGACAAUACAUGGAUAAACCAGAGGAUUCCGAAAAUCUGGCAAAAAAAUCAAAAUAUGGAGGAGCAAACAUCCUUAACAAUGUUAUACCAAAGCACUGCAAAAUAUUUUAAAACAAGAAAGCUCUUACAAAACUGUUGUCAACAUAAACAAAUCGGUGAAUUUAAAUAUCAUUCUAAAACAUGCAAAUUCACCAGACAUGUGCAACAAAGAAAUAUAUAAUUUCUUACAAAAACAGUUUACAAAUGAUAAACCAACAGUAAUUUUAAUAUGGGAAAUAAUUCUGCAUAAACAAACGUCUACAAAAUUGAAAUCCACAUUCAACUUUAUUUUUAACGACCUUGAAAACAACAAAUUUAAAAUGGUAGAUAGAACAUAAGGCAUUACAAUUUGGCCUGAAAUGAAUUACUUUAUAAAGGGAAAAUAGUACCAAGCAGUUUGUGCUUACAUUUAGCAAGAUGAUGAUUAUAAUCACUUCUUUGCAUAUCAUGUUCAUUAUUGGCAUAAAGUUGACCAGCUAUUAACAUUAUCAAAAGUUGAUAAGCAUAUAUUUAGUCUUGAAAGUUUAGUGACUGACUAUGAAUUGAAUUGAAGAUGAAGUUUAUUUUGAUAUGAACUAUCUAUUAACUAUUUUUUUUCCAUCUAUAAAGCAUAUUACAUGUCUGACAAGAAAGACAAGGUCAUUUAUAUAUCUGAAAUCUUCAAAAACUAAAUUAGGGACAUAAUUAACAAGAAUUGAAAAAAAAAAAAGAAUUGUACUCAAAACAUGGGAAUAUUUCGAAUUUCUAUAAAUGUAAAGCAUGUUCAAGCUGCAACUUAUUUAAUUCAUGACUGCACAGGUGGUAUGCAUCAAAUGAUUUUCCUGAUCAAAUGAUAGUUUAUCGUGUCUAUUAUAGGUACACUGAAUUAGCAUUGUUAUAGGUUUACACAACACAAUGCUUCGAUACUGCAUUCAUGUAUAACUAAAUCACAUGUACUUUCGAUCGCUUUUUGAUCUUUGGUGAGAUCACAAAAAAAUAACAUUUACUGUUACAAAUUAUGUUGUACAUAUAAUGGUUGAAAACAACUGUCUUACCUCAUUUAAGACUUUUUUAACAAUUCAAAGGGAGUAAACUAACAAAAAUUUCGAAACUCCACUGUCCGCUGUCAGUAUCAAAGAUCAUCAUCAAUUUCACGGUUCAGUGAACCUUUAAUGAAAAAAACAAAUACAGUUUAGGUUAAGAAACGUACCUUAUUCCGGUACAAAUUUAUACUCUGUAGAACUGCUCUAAUGUAUUUAAUAUAUAUAACUAACGUUAUAGAUAUACUUUACUAAAUAUUGUUCCCUUGAUAUUCUAUAACUAAUUUAAGGGAUACUUAAUCAUGUUAAUUGAAGCGCUGUAGAUUGAGUAAAUUGUUAACAGCAAAUGUUCAAUAAACUUUGAUUAAUUUAAAACAAAAAAGAUUAAGCAACACGAAACCCAACAAAACUGGGGAUGGCCUCAGAUGCUCUUGAUGGCUUAUUGUAUCAUGCUUCGCACGUGGCAUUCGUCGUUUUGCUUAUGUUAUAACAAACCCGGUUAUCAACAUAUAAACUACACAAAAUAUAAAUAUAUAGCAGUAAAUAGUUUGAAACAGAUUUCAAAAAAUAGAUCUAAUGUGUUGUGCAAGAAAUAUAAAUUGACCCAAAUGACGUAGUUCUCUACGAUUAAUACACUCAUUAAUUCAAUUGUAUACAUUGGUACAUAGGAAGAUGUCUUGUAUAAUAAGGUUCGAUAAAACAAGAUCUAAGUAGGACAUUUUAAAAUGAAAUGUAUCUAAGCCAGAAUGUAACUUUUAUCAACACUACACAGUCUGAUACUUCAUGUUCUUUUUUGAAUUGCAUAGUCUUGGUGGCAGAGUGGUCUACGUAGGUACUACUGUAAUCAAUAGCCAGUAAACAUUGAGGUUGUGAGUUCGAACAUCGCUGUGCGGGUGAACUCGAUUCUAAUCUUAAUUGACUAUGAUUGUCUGGUUUCCCUUCGAAGGUCGGUGGUUUUCUCCGGGCACUCGCUUCCCACUAUAAAUACUGGCGUAGAAAUAGCCAAUAUGAGAUGCUUAAAAUAAUCAAAUAAUCUUUGAAUUGCAUAUAUCGUCUAUUGUAUGUAUGCAUGCCUCUAGUCUUUUAAUGGUAAUUCAUGUCUUAAAAAUAACCGAUAUUGGCCUACAUAAGUUAUACUGUAAAUACAUAUUUUAUACCAUACAUCUUGAACAUCUUGAACAUAUAACGAUACUACUGAAUUGGCUGUCUUAAUCUUGCUUCAGAUUACUACAAUUUACACUACUAUUCCCAAUGAUAAAUUGACAGAUCGACUUCACAAUCUCAUUAAACAGAUUUUUUCUAAAACAAUCACAAUCGUAAUGCCAGUUGUAGCUUUGAUUCUUUUUUAAAUUGAAAACGUUUUAUGAUUAAUUCAAUAUUAGAGUACAUUAUAUAAAUAAAUGUCCUGUGCACAUCAUCAAAAGUAAACUGACAUCAUAUAAUUAAAAUUCAAAUGUUGAUUAUCAGAACUCAUUUGUUUAUGAGUUUGAUUGUUGUUUUAGAUUUCGGAAAAAAUAUGAUCUGGUCAAAAUGUUUCAUAUUCGGUCUAUUAUCAAUUAUAAUUAAUGUAAAAAGUUUCGAGGCUUUAUUGAUUUGGAAAAAAUGGGCAAACAAGUUCAUGGUUAUGAAAGAACAUCAAAACAUCUUUAAUUGCCAUCACGCAAAGUCAAAACCAACAAAACAAACCACCAAACUAAUGAGAUAGUGAUAAACGGAUCGAGUUCAAUAAAUCUCAGAACCUUGUGGUUUUUAUUUUGCAUUAACAAAAAAGUCAGUUGUAGCCAUUAUGUCAUUUAUUUCAUAUUUGUAAAAUAAACAUUAGAUAAGGAAUGUGCCGGGCAUUGUAAUAAAACAUUGAAAGUGAAGUUUUUUGCAUUUUUAUCGUUCCGAUUGAUAAAGUCUUUUCCAUUCAUUGACAUUAUCUCAGAUUGAAUUACGGUAAUCUGAUAACCGCUCGGCAUUCUUUAAUUAGAGAAGGAGGUUGAACACACCAAACGAAUAGACACAAAGUUGACUGAACAAAUACUUACAGCAGUUUAAAAAAACAACAUACAAAAUUUAAAAAUUAGCAACAAAUUCUUCAACAGUCUCCGUUGUUGUUAACAAUUCUAAUGUAAAAAAAAAAUUAUGUUGCUCUAUACGGUUAAGUUAUAACAAUUGAUUGUCAAAUACCUACAUGAAGAUAAGAAGGGUCAAACAUAACUCUAAAACAUAACUAGUAUAACCCAAAAAUUUGACCUAGCAUGAAUCUGUGUAAUUGAAGACAAUUUUUUUUAAACUGGCAUAUACUUUUACCAGUUAAAAAAACACAGAAAUAGAAAACUAAAAUUAAUAAACAAAAUAAACAUCAUGUCCUUAAACAAAUAUUUGUAAUCCAAACUUAAAAUUGUUACAGCUACUACAAGGGAUCAGCGAAUCAUGUUCUAUAUGUGACAACAGACGUAAUACCUAUGUUACAAAUUAGUACAAACUUGCAAAGUAUCUCUUUAUAUUGUAUCAUGAUCAAGUCGACGUGAUUGUUUUUAGGGUAGUUGGAACAUAUCGGUUCUUUGAUUAUCUGUGACACAUAUUUUAAAACAGUCAACCAACUCAUGAAGCGUCCGUAAUAACUUUGGAGAGGUGAAUGUUUUUUUUUUAUCAAAUUCCUUCACUGUAAGAAAUCAUCCUCUAUAAAAGAUAUUGUGCGACACAUCUUUAAGGUAACACGAUACCGAAUGACGUCACGCCACGAAUUAUCGGUCCUGGCGUUAUCGAAUAACGUUCACUCAUACAAGCCAAUGCAGGUUUUGUAAUCACAAAGUGAUUUAAAAAUAAUAAAAAAAAAAAAUCUGGUAACUAUGUGACAUUUUUAACGGUAAUUUUUUUCAGUGGCGAGAGUGUUGAAGCAAUAUAUAACGGUUAACUUAUUUGCUUUAUCGUUUUUCGGCAAUUCUUCUGGUCAUUGUUAACUUAAAAAAAUGUACUACUUUACUUUUAAAUAUUCUGUUUCUUUAACAUUUAAGCAUCGAGGAAUUACAUAGUCUUAAAAGAAGUUUUUAGAACAAGUAUGCAACUUUUAUGUAGAUCUAUAUACAUGUAAGAAAGAACUGUAUGUAUUUCUUUGUGUGGCUAAAUUUACUUUAUAUAUAUAUAUGUACAUUGCCAUUUAAGAUAUAUUUAUCCGAGCUUUAGAAACGCAAUGAAAAGUGAAACUCGCCGAGCUGUACAUUUGUUUAGUAGCGAGUACAAAUACAUUUUACAUUUCAGACAAUGUACAUAAUUUAUAUAUUUUGUUUAUAUCCUACAAUUUACACCCAAAGGUUGACUAGAAAUAGAAAUAUUGUCACUUGGUCUUUCUUCGACCGGGAGUAAAAUGCUUCCAAAGUUGGGCAUCCAUUUGGCUGUGUGCGGGAUGUAUUAUUUAUUGUUAACUUGUUCUCGUCCUGAACAUCCAUAAAAUAGUUGCCACUGGACGUUAAGUAACCAGCAAUCAAUCCUACAAUUCACAACCAUCACUUGAAACUUUAGCUAAUAGAAUUUAGAUCAUAACCCCCUUUUUUUAAAAAAAGAAAUCGACAAAGUUAAUGAACAUUUACGCACAAAAAAUAUCUACGUCACCGCUUGCUCAUUAAGGAAGUGGGGUAACAUGAGACAUUACUUGUAAAAUUACAAAUACAAAUAAAACAAAAAAUAAUAUGGAACAUGUUAUUUGUACAGCAGUUGGUUGUUAAAAUGAUUAAUAGUGAUACGGGACGUGCAAUUAAUAAAUUACUACACAUAAUAAAGGUGCGCAUAUUGUCUGGAUUUUCUUUAUUUUUGGUUCAUGACAGGUUGCUGGAAUAGGCAUUUUGAUAAAAUAUAAAAGGCACGAAGAUUCCAGACUCCGACUUACAUCUUAAAAUAUGUGAUCUCAAGAUUUGUUUUGUAAAUAAUUUUCUACAAAUGACUUUGUGAAAUUUUGCAUAUAUAUACAGUUUGCAAUGUUUGUCUGACUUGCUGGGCAAUCAACUCACAUAUUUACACCAUGCAGAAUACACUAUACUAAUGUACGUAGCAAGUCAAAAAUAUAAGUUUUGAAUUUUCCUUUGAGUUUUGUUAUUUUAUUUUUUAGAAUGUGUAGUUUAUCAGGAUCAAUAUUUUCCCUCAUAAUUUUGACAACUAACAGAAUGUUAAACCUUUUUUGACUGGUGCAUUGAAUAUGUCUUUUAUAAACCACUGUUUUCAAAAUUGUAUUGUAUCGUCCCGACUUACAUGCAUGAACUAUUUGCCAGUGAACGUUAAGCAACCAUCAAAAACCGAGCAAUUAUAAAACUGUUAAAUGAACUUAAUUUUUAAAGUACUCUAUUUCUGCAUGGAUUAAGCAAUGACACUACCAUUGUCUUAAAGGAUGGAUUUAAAAACUCAGUUAUUCAAAUAAAUCACACGUAAAAAAUAUCAUGUUAUUUUCAUGUGAACUUUACAAAAGUAUGGAGGGAAUAACGAUAUUAUUUGAAUAAUCUUAUUUUAGAAAUUUACGUGAAUUUACCAAAUUCCGGUGAUUAAUUCAUGAACUAUUAUCAAAAGAUUCACGUGGAACCAACCAGUUUAAGCAAGUUUCAAGUAUAUGCUCGUUUCGUGUGAAAAUUGUUGUUUAUUAAUGUGAGUGAAAUUUCCAUGUGUAGGACGAAAUAAAUUAUAUCAGUAGAAUUUCAUAAUAUGGCAAUACUAGAAAAUUUACGAAACCCGACAGGGCAAAUGAAAAUAAAAUAACCACCAUUCAGAUCCCGACACAUAUUUUGUUUUCCAUAUCUAGAAUGAAUAACGUUACAUUCUGUAUUCAAUAACGUCACACGUUUUCGGUCAAAUUCUAAGGGUAUCAAUCAACUUUGAAACCAUUUGUCUCAAAAACGAGAAUGGUGACAUAUGAUUUUCUAUACGUGUAUAGAUUCAGUUUGCAAUGCUGAAUACUAUGUUAUUUUUUUUUUUGUUGUUUUCCGUAUAUAAGAACAUAGCCAUCCAUUGGAAAAUCUAUAAAGGUAGGCCGAAAAAUAGGCCUUUCCCCUAUAUACCUAUGUAAAUUAGUCGCCAAAAUUGACGUUUUCCUAUGAAAAUACCAAGAAAACAAAAAUGGUGACCCCUUAUGUUUUAUUACACAUUCCGAUGCAACUCGAUUCAAAGAACACGUGUGCCAAAAUGUUUGGAAAUUGGGAGAUAUGCCAUUCGGUAUCGUGUUACCUUAAGAGUGUCGUGCAUCAUUAAAUUUAAGUUUCUCAAAAACAGGAGUAAAUUGUCUCGAUAAACUAGCAGGAUAAUAGAUAAGAAAACACAUAAGACCGAACUCCAUCGGCUUGAUUCAGAAAUAAAAGCAAAUGUAUUAAAUGAUAUUUUUUUUUAGAUUUGGUUGAACGAUAUGUAGAUCAUAUGACUGUUAUGGCAGUGGCGGGAGUAUGUUACCCGAUCUACACAAUUGUAAGGAUGCAUACGAAG
rnacentral:lncRNA from 1 species